GUUCAUUCAUUUAGUAAACACAUGAAACACGUUUUUACAAGGAACCGCACACAACUUACAAUACAUUAUAAACAUUUAGGCAAAAACAUGCAUCUUUUUUCAUUGGUCGUCAUAUUUGUUUACUAUCUGAAGACAACAACGGCCAGAUUUAUUGAAUCUAAGAACGAAGUAUAUUCUACCAAUUCGUUUACUCAGGAAAGAGUUGUUCAAGAUCCGGCAAUCCGUAUACUAAUCAACACGAACGACAGACGUUCAUCUCCAUACAUUACACUACGAAGACGAACAAAUACCAACUUUAGAUUGAGGAUAAGCAAAGAUGUGAUGAACAAUAACGGUCCAUUAAGAAUUGUAUACAGAUCAAGAAACAUUGCUGCAACAGACUCAGCAAGAAGGUUUAAUUCUAUUUCACGAAAUAUACGGAACACUGAAAACAAUGCAAUUCAAACAUUUUAUAGAACCCUCGUACGGCCGGCUAAUAUCCGAAUUUCGACAAGAGGAUUAAAGAACAUGCGUAUCCGAACAUAACACAAUGUAGAGUUGCAGUCAGAACAUCAGUGCUAGAUACAUGUACAUUCAGAUGAACAGGAAUAAUAACAUUAAAGGUACCAUGAUUUCUUCAACAGAUGUUCAGUUCGACAAUAAAUGUCUCCGGUAAUACUCAAACUUUAAGCCAGAAUAUAUGAAAAUCCAUUGCGUUUAAAAUGAAAAUAAAGAACUUAUAAAGCUAAAAGGACAACCAUUUUAGCCAAAUCUGGGCAUGUAAUCACAGCUCUGUGCGAGGAAGAUAUAUUUCUUAAUUUAAAGAUUAAGGAUGGAAAUCCAAAUUAUAUAUGUAAAGAAAUAUAGUGCUAUGAAUUUAUUUGUGUCAUACAGGCAUGACAUUUAUUCUUUUAAUAUAUUCAUUAAAUAAAAGAUAUUUUACAUAUAAAA